UAGAACAACAACCAAUUACUUCCAAUAUGUGAGAUGCUUUUCUUUUUUUAGUUUGCAGCCAACCUCGACCAAGAUUUCAAUUGAGCAGGAGGUCACAUUGCCCACCACACCAAGGCGGAUCAUGCUAGGAAGAAGUUUGACGUCUUCCACCCAUUGGAUGGUCAGCAUUGAGGGGAAGGUCCUCUUUGAAGCUAACCAACUUAACGCCAGUGCUUUUGUCGUCUUCUUUGGCUCCUUUUAUGCGUUCAAUCUUGAAUAUCAAGAGUCAGCAUCUACUACACUGGAGUUGGUACAAGGAUCAACCCAGAUGAGGGAAGCAAGUGCAUGGC